AGUCCGUCCCGGUCGAGACCGACCGGAACGGAGCCGGGGACCCAGGUUCCAGGGGUGAAUCGGCGUGCCCGAGAGGCGCGCCGUAGGGCUGCUUCCAUGCCCGAAUCCGUCAGCUAACCCGGUAGGCGUCAUGGAAGACAAGG
rnacentral:sRNA from 1 species